AAAAAGCCUGAAUAAUUCAGAACAA
rnacentral:tRNA from 2 species